UCUCCCAAUGAAUCCAGAGACUGUUCUCCAGUCUUCCUCUCAAUCCAGAGACUGUUCCCCAGUCUUCCUCUCAAUCCAGAGACUGUCCUUCAAUUCUCCCAAUGAAUCCAGAGACUUUCCCCCAGCCUUCCUCUCAAUCCAGAGAUUGCCACUCCAAACUUCUUCUCCGUGAGCUGCUGUCCCUCCAAACUUCCAAAAUCCUGUUACUGCCCCUUUAAUGGUACUUUAUAUCCACCUAUUACCCUUUUCACUUUUGAUCUGUAUCCCUACAAUCCGGCCCUUGUUGCCCUUCCAGUUAUCCUUUGGUUGUUACUCUCUCCGGAUCCUCCCUUACCUGACUGUUACCCCCAGCCCUGCCCUAUACCUG